rnacentral:rRNA from 1 species
UAGGGAAUCUUCGGCAAUGGACGAAAGUCUGACCGAGCAACGCCGCGUGAGUGAAGAAGGUUUUCGGAUCGUAAAACUCUGUUGUUAGAGAAGAACAAGGACGUUAGUAACUGAACGUCCCCUGACGGUAUCUAACCAGAAAGCCACGGCUAACUACGUGCCAGCAGCCGCGGUAAUACGUAGGUGGCAAGCGUUGUCCGGAUUUAUUGGGCGUAAAGCGAGCGCAGGCGGUUUCUUAAGUCUGAUGUGAAAGCCCCCGGCUCAACCGGGGAGGGUCAUUGGAAACUGGGGGACUUGAGUGCAGAAGAGGGGAGUGGAAUUCCAUGUGUAGCAGUGAAAUGCGUAGAUAUAUGGAGGAACACCAGUGGCGAAGGAGGCUCUCUGGUCUGUAACUGACGCUGAGGCACGAAAGCGUGGGGAGCAAACAGG